GCCCUGCACGACCAGCUGAACCGCCUCAAGGUGACCCCGCGGCCCUCUCCCGCUCCUCCUCCAUUCCUCCCGAGCGACCCCCCAACCUGGGCCUCUGCGGUGCAAACCCCCCAACCUCGGCCUCUGCGGUGACCACCUGCUGCGGUUGAAGAAUUAGCCCUCCAAUCAAUGAUCAGUUCUAGAAGAGGGGAUGAGAUGCUGUCUUCUCACACUGUACCUGAACAGUCACAUGAUAUGUUGGUGCAUGUAGACAAUGAAGCAUCAAUCAACCAAACGACCCUGGAGUUGAGCACAAAGAGUCAUGUGACGGAAGAGGAGGAGGAGGAAGAAGAGGAAGAAGAAGAAUCAGAUUCCUAAAGAAGGGGGAAAGCCAGGCUGGUCAGUUAUACAAAUUGCAUUUCUAAGUCUCAGGCUACUUCUUCUCAAGGAACUCGUCUUGCCCUGGGCCCUGUGAUCUGCUUGAAAGGAAAGCAAGAACUAUAAGGAGAAUGUGUAGUUGCAAAAAUGGCUCCAUCAGUAACUCAAGCUUCAGAAUGUUAUGACAUACAGAAAAUCAAAGAUGCUGUGUCUUAGCAUUGAGCAAUAUGGGUGGUGCUGUCUGUAAUCUGGUCAGAUUCGGUUAACUGUUCAAAACAAUUUCCUCUGAAAUACUGUUGAGAAAGUCUGGCAUUUGCAAAAAGAGCAGAGUUUAAAUACAAGCCAGUCUUUCCAGUCAACAAUGACUCUUUGAAGAAAACCAAUUAAAGGCUGUUUGCAUGCCACUGAAUCCUUGUGAGCAGUUAGCCCACAGUCUAGGACAAAGAUGACAAGGGGAAGGACUGAGGGCCAUCUGAGAGCACAAGCUUGCUACCUCUCGGAGGCAUUGAAAUAUUGCAUGCUAUAAACUGCUUUGUGUAGCUGUUACCACCUCUCACUUGAGACAUCACUCACUGGUAAAAUGUUUUUAUAAAUAAAUUAUAAAUAGCCAUCA